UGCGCCGUUAAAUAAAACAUUUCUUUCUUUCUUUUUGGACUGAACGGUGGGGUUUUUGGGGGUUUUUUGGGGUUUUUUUUUUUUUUUAACGUGACGUCGUUUCUUCUCUCAGGUGAUAUGUAUUACUAUUACGUCACACCUAUUGUUUGACGUAAGCAACAUUUAGUAACAAUAUUUGGGCGACGAGACGGGUUACCAUUGAACAGGAACGUGUGCUAGACGGUUUAUCUACAAUAACGGCUUUCUGGCACCUUUCUAUCAGUUGACUGCACUAGACUAUCGGCUUUAAUAGGUUAGAAUGCAUUAAGACGUUUCUUCAGAAACAAGAAGGGGUGGAGUGUCAGUGUGGUACAGCAUCCAUGACUGUGGAACAUUUCCUGCAACAUUGUCCCACCUACCAGAAUCAGAGAAAAGAGCAGUCUGGCCUACAAAUGAACCCCUGAAGGUCCCCGGCAGAGCGUACGACGAAGAAGAAGUGUCUCCGUCUGGCCUGAACAGUCUGGAAUGGUCGCACUCUCUGCUGUCCUUGUUGGUCACCUGGAACUGUGGCAGGACGAUCUGCUCGUUGAUGUCCACUGGUGUGGAAGUGUUGGCCCAUUCUAAGACGACCUUCUCAGAGUCGAAUCCAACUAAAACAAAACGGGGGCAAAAGAUAUGAAGGAAUUAUGUCUUUUCUAAGGAUACAGACUGUGACUGAGACACAACUGAAACAAUUUAAUGUUUUAGUUGUUAUUGUUGUUUUAGUUAUUGGUUUACUUGUUGUUGUUUAGAUCUUAUUGUUGUUUUAGUUGCUGUUUUAGUUGCUAUUGUU